rnacentral:tRNA from 1 species
ACCUGGCUGGCUUAGUCCAUAGAGCAUGGGAUUCUUGAUCUCGGGGUUGUGAGUUCAAGCCUCACGUUGGGCG